GACGAACUCUGGCGGCGUGCUUAACACAUGCAAGUCGAACGAAAAGAGGGAAAGAGCUUGCUCUUUCCGGAAUUGAGUGGCAAACGGGUGAGUAACACGUAAACAACCUGCCUUCAGGAUGGGGACAACAGACGGAAACGACUGCUAAUACCGAAUAAGUUCCAAGGGCCGCAUGGCCCAUGGAAGAAAAGGUGGCCUCUACCUGUAAGCUAUCGCCUGAAGAGGGGUUUGCGUCUGAUUAGCUGGUUGGAGGGGUAACGGCCCACCAAGGCGACGAUCAGUAGCCGGUCUGAGAGGAUGAACGGCCACACUGGAACUGAGACACGGUCCAGACUCCUACGGGAGGCAGCAGUGGGGAAUCUUCCGCAAUGGGCGAAAGCCUGACGGAGCAACGCCGCGUGAGUGAUGACGGCCUUCGGGUUGUAAAACUCUGUGAUCCGGGACGAAAAGGCAGAGUGCGAAGAACAAACUGCAUUGACGGUACCGGAAAAGCAAGCCACGGCUAACUACGUGCCAGCAGCCGCGGUAAUACGUAGGUGGCAAGCGUUGUCCGGAAUUAUUGGGCGUAAAGCGCGCGCAGGCGGCUUCCCAAGUCCCUCUUAAAAGUGCGGGGCUUACCCCGUGAUGGGAAGGAAACUGGGAAGCUGGAGUAUCGGAGAGGAAAGUGGAAUUCCUAGUGUAGCGGUGAAAUGCGUAGAGACUAGGAAGAACACCGGUGGCGAAGGCGACUUUCUGGACGAAAACUGACGCUGAGGCGCGAAAGCGUGGGGAGCAAACAGGAUUAGAUACCCUGGUAGUCCACGCCGUAAACGAUGGAUAAUAGGUGUAGGAGGUAUCGACCCCUCCUGUGCCGGAGUAACGCAAUAA
rnacentral:rRNA from 1 species